AUUGAACGCUGGCGGCAUGCUUUACACAUGCAAGUCGAGCGGCAGCGCGGGGGCAACCCUGGCGGCGAGCGGCGAACGGGUGAGUAAUGCAUCGGAACGUAUCCUCGAGUGGGGGAUAACCCAGCGAAAGUUGGGCUAAUACCGCAUGAGCUCUGAGGAGGAAAGCGGGGGACCUGCGAGGGCCUCGCGCUGGAGGAGCGGCCGAUGUCCGAUUAGCUAGUUGGUGGGGUAAAGGCUUACCAAGGCGACGAUCGGUAGCUGGUCUGAGAGGAUGAUCAGCCACACUGGGACUGAGACACGGCCCAGACUCCUACGGGAGGCAGCAGUGGGGAAUUUUGGACAAUGGGGGCAACCCUGAUCCAGCCAUGCCGCGUGGGUGAAGAAGGCCUUCGGGUUGUAAAGCUCUUUCGGACGGAACGAAAUGGGCGGGACUAAUACUCCUGUCUGAUGACGGUACCGUAAGAAGAAGCACCGGCUAACUACGUG
rnacentral:rRNA from 1 species